ensembl:lncRNA
UACAACCAAUCACAGACGAUGAUUUUGUACAGUUGCCUGGUGACGCGACAUGCAAAUUAGUUGAUUACGUUAUCUAGCGACUUCUAGCGAAUUUUGGGAGAGCUAACCAUAGACAUAUAUACAUCAUUACUGUGACUCACAACUUUGCCAUGUCAGACAAGAUUCACUUUCCUCCUCUCCAAAUGCUUAAUUUCCUUUUCUGAGCUUUUGAGCGGACACUUUUAUUUGUACAUUUGCUAUCUGUAUGGCUGUACAUUGGAUACUGUCAUGUAAGUCGAUGAGAGCAGGAAAAGGAGGUGACUAACUACCUCAUUUCAGAUUGACCAAAUGAAGACUCCUGCUGCAUUCUUAUGUGCUCAGUGCAACUUCUACAGAUUUGGGCCCACUAUGGGUUUUUACAAAGCGACGCAUUAUUACAGUUUUUUUUUCUGAAUGCUUAAACACUAAAUGUCUAAAUCCAUUAACACUUGUAGCCAAUGCAUUUACCACGUGUGCCAACACACUUCUAUUAAAACUGUAAACACCUUUACAUAAUGCCUAGCUCAUGACAACAUUGUAUGUUAUGUGGAUGAAGUCUUCUUUGUUUCUGACACAGGUGGGUAAUGGGCCUAAAAAAAGAAUGACACUCUCCCCCUUAUUCUGAAGAACCUAAGCAUUAUUUCUAUAUGCAAAGUAGCCUUUAUUUGACACUGUAAGUUGACAGUAAACAUGGAAGCACAGGUUAAACUUUAUUCAGUUCUCUAAGUGUACUACUAAGUGGUUCUUCUGCUCAGCAUUCAUGGCUAAAUUGGUGGCACUUCUACUGCCUUUAUAUCCUUAAUCUUGCACCCUAUAACUUUCCUUGUGCUUCAAAAAAGCAAAAAAACUAAAAAACAUAAUGAUAGGAAUACAAAAUAAAAAACAACUGGUCAAACUAGAGAACAGAGAGUGCAGUUUUACUUUGGUAACAAUAGUGUGAAAGUUCAGCCUGGUGUUGUCUGUGUCAGUGUAGUGUGUCCUCAGAGAUAGUAGGGAGACCUGGUGCUGUGUGUGUCAGUGGUGCUGUCUGUGUCAGUGUAGUGUGUCCUCAGAGAUAGUAGGGAGACAGCCACUGUUCAAAGCACAAAGAACACAAAUAUGCCUCGAAGAAUGCACCGACUUUCUGCAGACUUUAUUGCAAUGUACCACCUGAUCUAUCUAAACAUCCGAAAAGUAGUUUCAGUAUCCCAAAUGAUCUCUCGAUGACAGCUCAAGCCUUUAUGAGAUUUCUUAUGUAUAUUAUAUAUUUAUAAAAAUAAAAAAAGUCAAGGGUGAACUGAUCAACAUAGGCUCAUGUCGCGGACCCCCUGCAAUGCCUUAGCGGACCACCAGAGGGCUGCGGACCCCCGGUUGAAAACUCCUGGUAUAGACCAACAAAAGAUGCAAUGGAUAUACUGGAAAAAAAGAUUUAUUAACAUAUAAGACAAUUGCCAGAAGUCUGCCAAUCAUUUCUAUUCUCAAAUGUAUAAUUUAAAUCAUAUCAGAUGCCUGAGUAAAAGAUUUGGAUAGCAAUACACAUCAAAACACAUCAAAACAGAGGAAGGGGAUAACUGAUGAAUGAUUGUGACGCUUCUGUAUCAAAACCUACAGAUCUUUACAUGAUUCCUGCAUUGGAGCUCUCACAUAAUGUGUUCCACCUAUGCAUAUUUUAACUAUGAUAGCACAGACUUUAAAUGAAGACAAAAUAUAGGGCAUGAUGGAGCUGCCUGGCAACGACACCACAGAACACCUUCUUAAUGGCAUAAUGGCAGUAUUUGUGUGAGGAUAGGUGCCUUUGGCAUACAAAAAUAGAGCAUCAUAUUAAACAACAACAGCAAAGGGGCACCUUUUUCCAGUAUAAACUGAUCAUCUAACUUGAAUCCUACUGUAGGUAUCAUUGAGGCACUUUCAUGUAGUCUACCUAAACUACACAGAUCUGUUGUCUACUGUGAGUAACCCAUUAAAAUAUCUUCCCAUGCCUCAGACAAGACUUUCUGACCAAAAGUAAUAGUAAUUUAAAAAUUAAAAAAUUUCACUAAAAGUCACCUUCUCUCCAUCUGAUAUAUUCUGGAGGGAGCCGCUGCUGGCCCAGGUGUGGAGACCAGACUAACGGCCCAGGUGUGGAGACCAGACUAACGGCCCAGGUGUGGAGACCAGACUAACGGCCCAGGUGUGGACACCAGACUAACGGCCAAAGGUUCAAUGUAUGACUGUCUUAUCCGGUGCCCAGGUGAAACUGCUUAGAUGGUUGAAACUAUCUCUUGACCAAUCUGACUCCAGUUAUUUAUUCACCACCGCUGAUACAGUCUUGGCUAUUACCGGAGUGAUAGUUAAUAAUGUUAUGUCGCUCUGAGAAUUUACUACUCAUUCAACAAGGAUUUACUGUAUCUGAAUCAGAAUUGUUUUUAGAAAGUAAUUUUAUACCUACCAGGAAUUUGUUUUGGCAUAUUGGUGCAGACAAUAACCCCCCCAUGAUUACACAAUGAUUAAGCUAAGGCAGGAAUAAAAGCAUGAAGAUGUAAUACUUCUUGCAAUAAUACACAACCAAAACAAAUAGAUUCUUAAAUUACACGACAAAUGGAAAUUUGCAUAGAUAACCUAUAUACACAUCUAACGGUGCAAACCCAUGACACCGUUACGAGCAACGCGAUAUUCUAAUCCCAUGCAUUUCAACGGGAGCCAAUCCAUUGUGACGUAGACCACCGUUUUAGGCGACAUGACCGAUAAAAGUUGGAACAUUUUUAAUCCUAUGCAAAUGAGGAGCGAUUUUUCCCGGCAGCGGCCAAUCAGAUUGUUUGGUGUCGUCUCUGACAGUUUGAAAAUGCUAUUUCCACACGCUACAACACGCCCACUCAAAGCGAUGGAAGCGUAUCGCGUCGCUGUCAUUGGUUUGCACCGUAAGGACUUUUGAACUUUAGGGGGUAUCUCCUUAUCAAAGUGGCAUGGGGUAGGAUAUUUCAUUUUUUGACCCCAGGUGGGAGUGUCACCUUAUUGUUCUACAACUGCGCCCCUUAUAGGCCUACUCCUCACACAGGCCAUUAAAAUGAUAUCAACCCCCAAUGUGCUGACGCCCUCUACUCACUAAAUAGAUUUCACCCCUAACAUGUGGCCAGGUGUGACCCCAGAAUGACCUGUGCCCAGGAGAAGGGAGAGGGGCAUGACCCCAGAAUGACCUGUGCCCAGGAGAAGGAAGAGGGGCAAAGACACCUCAGAGGUACAUCAGAAUAUAAAAAGGACAAUCCACAGGCAACACCAGAUGUUUCUCCUAAAACAUAAACAUGCUGUUCCACACACAAUUCACAGUCUUCACAUUUGGAAUUCAUGGUGUAACUCAACCUUAGGAUAUCGAUACUCAACUCAUCAUAGUCCUGACAUUCUGUACAUAAUGAGCAAAAAAACGUGCAAAGUAUGUAAAAAACUAAAUAUCUCUUCUCAUAAAAGACAAAAAGAGGACAUUCACUUGGACAACUGCUGUCUCACUCACACACCAUACUUGCAAUACUAAAACUUUUACAAAUAUGUUUUUUGUUGUUAAUGUUAUUAUUAUUAUGCUAUCGUUAUAAAUCAAUUAUGAAGUUAUUGAAUGAAAUGUGGACUCUGGACUAUCUGAAUUUACAUGGUGGCCAUUGACAGAAAGAAGCAUAAGGAACCUCUACUGUUCAAUAAGAGUCUCUCAUAUUAUAGAGAGCAUACACGUCCACAGAGGUCAUACUGCUUCUCAAAAUGGCUUUGUCAGGUUCCUCCUCUUCAGCUCAUUCCUGCUCAGAGGCGCUCAUCCAGAGAAAUGGGCUCUGCAACAAGAAGUGAAGCCAUAACAAACUUUAAGAAACAAUGUUUUUUCUUCAUGGUCAUUAUAUCCUAAAUACAAUUCACCAAAGAUGAACUGGCACAUAGAAGUUGAAUCACUUAAUACGACAUUUGAAAUAUCAUUACCACUCUCUUGGGAGACGGAUUACUUGCUCUGUCCAUUGUUUGGUACAGUGUUUUCAAAUAUGUACUGACAUUUCUUUUCUGCAGCUCAGGGUGUCUUUUUCAGUUGAAAAAAGUUAAUCUUCUCAGAAAAAUACACUCUAUGUCAAGCUCCAAAAAAGGAGAAGGUAGCAGUGGAGACACGUAUGAUGUUCGACUCAGAGCACAGUGAACUAUAUGACAUGACGAAUAAACUAUAUCACCAAUAUUCAUUUGUGGAGUAAAAAUCGACAGGAAUGACAGUGCUGAUGUAAAGACAAAUGACUGGAUAGCCUACUAACUGGCUAGCUUGCUUACUAGCUCGCUAGUCCAGUUUGUUACACUACUUCCACACGCCACAACACGCACACUCAAAGCGAAUCAAGCAUUUCACUUUGCUGGCCUGUUUCAGUACCACUAGCGUUCCAGCUCUAGUGCCUAAAACAUCUGAUUUAUUUUAUUCGCCAUAUUGUGGCUAUCAAAACCUUUGGUAAUAAAGUAGACGUCUUUACAUAAGCUGACGUUGUGGUUGUUGUGAGAACACUUGUAGUCCCUAAUUGGUGAAGCUAGCUAUGGUUUAGUAUAACACCUGUUAGUUUUAUUUUGUUUCAUUGAACAAUAUUCCAUAUUCAUCUUUCUCCCUCUCUUUCCCACAGCUGUUCACAAUUUUUUGUCUUCAGCAUGUCAGGUAAGGAAACAACAUGAAUUUUGCAACACUUUAGUCUGUUUUAUAAUCAAUGUCCAUGUUAAGAUAUUUAUCCCAUGUGAGUAAAAUGUCUAUUUUCUACUCCUGCAGCCACCCACACGGUUCCUCAUGUCGUCUGUUGCCUCACUAGUUGAACAGUGGAACUGCAUCAAGUAGGCUUUUACAAACAGUGGAACUGCAUCAAGUAGGCUUUUACAAACAGUGCAACAACUAGUGGAGCUCCAGUGGGUGCUGUGGGUGCUGUACACCUAUGGCCACAUCCCACAGAUAGCAAAUACAUUCUGAAAUCAGCACUGUAAGCUAGUAUAAUCACUUUGAAAGAUGUGUUCAACACAUGUCUGUACCACAGUUUCUGGUGUUUCUUAAUGAAAACCUUUAUAACAUUUUCGAUAGUCCCCUCCAACCUGCCCCAACACACACACUCAUGGCUUUCCGCAGAGGGAGAGAAACACUGCACUUUGUUCUUCAAACCUGUAAACAAACAAUGAAAGCUCGAGUUUCGAGCUUCGGUCACAAAACGUACAGAAAUCACCGCACAGGUUUAAGCCUUUCUUUCAGCCAAUGACAAUCCCAAAUCUGUCAGCCCUCUACACAAUAUAUCUCAAAACUCCUGUGAGCAGCGCACAGGCAGAACGUCUCUUAAGUCGCCUCAAACCAUUGGAUAUGAUAUUAAGUCUCUUAAGUCGCCUAAACCAUUGGAUAUGUUUUGCAUGCCACCAAGAGCGAGGAGCGCCUUGCAACUAUGCCUACAGCAUGGUCACUUUGAUGGAUUCUUAAAAAGACUUAAACAGACUUAGCUGUAACUAGCUUGCUAUGCACACUUCGUCACAGACAACCACAUACUACAGAUCUUAAUGAUAAUGAAAUAUCUUGCCUUUAUAUAAUCAAGUAAAGAGAUAUUAUCUGAUUUCAAACAGAUAGACACACGCCGAAGAUGCUGCAUAUAGUAUGUCUUCACUGCAACUUACUAAUUGGGAGUAAACAGACAGUAUAGGAGGCAUCAUGAAGCUUUUUUCACCUCUAGAAACUCACUCUGGUGGUGUAGAAACUGAAUGAUAAAGAAAUUAUAGACCCACUGUGAGUCUAGUAGCAGAGCUAAGAGCACUCUCUUUCUCUCAUUUUUAUCAAAGCUGCUUAAAAUUAUCACAGAAUGUCAGAAUCAACGGGUGAAGUAAAACCUUACAUUGGCUAUUCAUUAAGCUACUUAAUUAAGAUACUUAAUGUAUGGGCUGCUAUCGGUAGAAUAGAACGUUACUAGAAUAGCAGCCCAUCUCCAUUAAUAUGGUCAGCUAACCAGAAGGUAUAGUACAGAAAUGACUUGUGUAAUUUACAGUAAGACGAGCCAUGU